GAUGAAGAACGUAGUGAAAUGCGAUAAGUAAUGUGAAUUGCAGAAUUCAGUGAAUCAUCGAAUCUUUGAACGCACAUUGCGCCCCCUGGUAUUCCGGGGGGCAUGCCUGUUCGAGCGUCAUUUCACCACUCAAGCCUCGCUUGGUAUUGGGCAACGCGGUCCGCCGCGUGCCUCAAAUCGACCGGCUGGGUCUUCUGUCCCCUAAGCGUUGUGGAAACUAUUCGCUAAAGGGUGUUCGGGAGGCUACGCCGUAAAACAAGCCCAUUUCUAAGGUUGACCUCGGAUCAGGUAGGGAUACCCGCUGAACUUAAGCAUAUCAAUAAGCGGAGGA
rnacentral:misc_RNA from 1 species